AAUCAACGCUGGCGGCGUGCCUCAGACAUGCAAGUCGAACGAUUAAAGCUUCCUUCGGGAAGUGCAUAGAGUGGCGCACGGGUGAGUAACACGUAAGUAAUCUACCUUCGAGUGGGGAAUAACGUCCGGAAACGGACGCUAAUACCGCAUAAUGCAGCGGCAUCGCAAGAUGACAGUUGUUAAAGGAGCAAUUCGCUUGAAGAGGAGCUUGCGGCAGAUUAGCUAGUUGGUAAGGUAACGGCUUACCAAGGCUACGAUCUGUAACCGGUCUAAGAGGACGGUCGGUCACACUGACACUGAAUAACGGGUCAGACUCCUACGGGAGGCAGCAGUCGGGAAUUUUGGGCAAUGGGCGAAAGCCUGACCCAGCAACGCCGCGUGAAGGAUGAAGUAUUUCGGUAUGUAAACUUCGAAAGAAUAGGAAGAAUUAAUGACGGUACUAUUUAUAAGGUCCGGCUAACUACGUGCCAGCCGCCGCUGUAAU
rnacentral:rRNA from 1 species